rnacentral:lncRNA from 1 species
UUGGGGAAGAAAGAAGAGGAGAAGCCUCAACCUCAAGAGGAGGUGGUCGCCACCCAGUUUGAGAAAGUCAAGAUAGAAGAGGAACAUAAGGAAGAUGAGAAGAAACACAGUCUCCUGGACAAGCUUCACCGAUCCAAUAGCAGCUCCAGCUCUGUAAUUACUUUUUUUACUUCCUUACUUACUAGUCAUAGUUCAAACAGUCAAAUCUUUUUCAUAUAUAUUAUAACAUGCGUUGUAUGAAUGUUCAGUCUAGUGACGAGGAAGAAGGUGAAGGUGAAGGCGGAGAGAAGAAGAAGAAGAAAAAGGAGAAGAAGGGAAAGAAAGAAGAGGACAGUGCAGUCCCAGUGGAGAAGUGCGAUGAGGCGGCAACAGUUCACCACUCAGAGACGCCGGAAAAGAAGGGUUUCAUGGAGAAGAUCAAAGACAAACUCCCAGGACAGCAUAAGAAAGAUGAAGAGGUCACCACCCCACCACCAGCUGCUGCUGCCCCAACUGAGAACGACCACCAUGAGGGAGAGACAAAAGAGAAGAAGGGAUUUUUGGAGAAAAUCAAGGAGAAAAUUCCUGGUUACCACUCCAAAACAGAGGACGAGAAGGAAAAAGAGACCACUGCUCCCCAUUAAUGAAUCAAUAUAAUGCAUUUCAAGUAAAAGAUGUCUAUGAGAUUGUGUGGUUUAUUAAUUUGUUGGAACUGUUUGUUCUCUGUAUUUCUUUUUGGGGUUGCAUACAUCAUAUAAAUUUCUGCGUCUGUUUUCAUGAUUGUAAGUAAAAAAUAAAAGGGUAUGUAUAUUUAAUGUUUUUAAUGUUAUUAUAAUAAUUAAGAAAUGAUGGUACUAUUUCCUUUUUAUCAAUUAGGUUUGUGCACUGUAAAAGUUAAAUGCAAGUUUUAACAAACAUAAAUUAUUUAAAUAUACAUUUAGUUUUUGGUAGGUGUUUGAAUUAGGUUGUUAUGUUUGAACAAAAUGGCAUGUAUUGAUUGUUUCUUCAAUUCCGUGACAUUGCCAGAGAACUCUAACUAAAGCCAUACUCUUAUUUCUUUACUCUUUAACUUCCCGAGCUAAAAUUUUGAUCGAUUCUUCACUGUACGACAUAUCUGGUUGAAUCUCAACAUCUACAGGUAAAAUUACGUGUGAAGGGUCUGAUCUAUACAGUCGUAACACCAAUACAUAAAACACAUUAUGAAUUUUCUCUAACUUUGAUGGUAAAGCCAACCGAUAAGCCACUGAUCCAAUCCUCUCAAUGAUUUCAUACGGCCCGAUGAAUCGAGGACUAAGCUUCCCUUUUCGGCCAAAAAGGAGAACUUUUCUCUAAGGUGAUACUUUUAGGAAUACUCUGUCUACGACUUUAAAUUCUAUAUCUUUUCUUUUUAAAUUUAUGUAAGAUUUCUGACGAUCAGAAGCAACUUUCAAACUGUCAUGUAUUACUUUGGCCUUUUCUUCGGUUUCUCGAAUCAAAUCAAGACCGAAUAAGUUUUUUUUUUGUUUAGCUUAGUCUAAUAUAACAGAGUUCAACAUUUUUUACCGUAUAAAGCUUCAUACAACGCAAUUUUUAUGCUUGUCUGAUAACUGUUAUUAUACGCAAAUUCUACCAAUGAAAGAAAAUUCUCCCAAUUACCUUCGAACUCUAAAACACAAUAUCAAAGCAUAUCUUCGAGUAUCUGAAUUACUCGCUCAAACUGAACAUUGGUCUGUGGAUGAAACGCUGUAUUGAAAUGUAGUCAUUUACCCAAAGCUUCGUGUAAUUUACUCCAGAACCGAAAAGUAAACCGUAGAUCCCUAUUAGAUAUAAUUGAAACUAGCACACUGUGCAGUCUAAAAAUCUCAGAAACAUACAACCCUGCCAAUUUCUCAAGUGAGUAAUCUAUACGUACUUGAAUGAAAUGCGCAGGUUUAGUCAAUUGAUCCACAAUAACCCACAAAACAUCUUUCUUUCUCAGAGAUAGAGGCAAUCCCGAUACAAAAUCCAUUGUAACCCGUUCCCAUUUUCAUUCUGGAAUCAUCACAGGCUGUAAUAAACCAAAGGGCACCUGAUGUUUGACUUUAACUUGCUUACAGAUCAAACAUUUUGAUACAAAUUCUGAAAUUUCUUGUUUCAUACCUGGCCACCAGUACAUCUAUUUCAAAUCAUUGUACAUUUUAUUGCUGCUAGGAUGUAUCGAUAAGCUACUGCUAUGAGCAUCCUGUAAGACAAACUACUGUCUGAAUUAACAUGAAAGUCUGAACCAAGUGUCGACUCAAUCUAUUCCCAUUUUGCGAUCAAUCCAGCAUCACUUUUCUGAAUCUCAUAAAUUUGUUGCAAAAAUGUCAGUCUAGCUUUUAAUUCAGCUAAUAUAGAACCAUCAUCAAUCAAGGUCAACCAUGUGUUCAAAGCUUGCAAAGUAAACAAAUAUUUUAUACUUAGAGCAUCGGCAAUGACAUUAGCUUUUCUCGGGUGAUGGUCAAUGAUCAAAUCACAAUCUUUCAACAAUUCAAGCCAUCUACAUUGCUUCAAAUUCAGAUCUUUCUAUGACAUCAAAUACUUCAAGCUUUUACGAUCCAUGAAGAUAUGACAUUUUUCUCCGUACAAAUGGUGUCGCCAAAUCUUUAAAGCAAACACAAUAGAUGUAAGCUCUAAAUCAUGAGUCAGGUAAUUGUUCUCGUGUAGUUUCAACUGUCGAGACGCAUAAGCUACCAGUUUGCUUUCUUGCAUCAAAAUACAACCUAAACCAUUCAAUGAAGCAUUCCUAUAAAUCAUGAAUUCCUUAACAGACUCUAGAUGAACCAACACAGGGGCUUUGAUCAACAACGCUUUCAAUUGAUCAAAGCUUUGCGGCCACUUUUCUGACCAUUCAAAUUUGACAUCUUUCUGAAGCAGUUUUGUCAACGGCGUAGCAAUCAUCGAAAAUUCUUUAACAAAUCUCCAAUAAUAUUCGAUUAAACCCAGAAAAAAUCUAACUUCUGAAACAUUUCUUGGAGGUUUCCAGUAAACUAUGGCUGACAUUUUACUCGGGUCGACCUUAAUAACGUAUAUCGAAACAACGUGUCCCAAAAAUCUAACUUCUCGGAGUCAGAACUCACAUUUUAUAAACUUAGUAAAUAACUAUUUUUCAAGAAAAGUCUACAAAACUAUUCUGAAAAGCUGGGCAUACUCUGUUUCAUCUCGUGAAUAGAUUAGAAUGUCAUCAAUAAACACAACAAAAAAUCUGUCUAAAUACGACCUGAAUAUUCUAUUAAUCAAAUCCAUAAACACAACAGGUGCAUUGGUCAAACCAAAUGGCAUAACAAGAAAUUCAUAAUGUCCAUACCUGGUUUUGAAAGUAGUCUUCGAUACAUCCAAGUCUUUAACUCGUAACUGAUAAUAUCCAAAACGGAGAUUGAUCUUUGAAAACAUUGUCGCGCCUUUCAACUGAUCAAAAAAAUAUCAAUACGUGGCAAAGGAUAUUUUUUAUUGAUCGUAACUUUAUUGAGUUAUCGAUAGUCGAUACAUAACUGUAGUGACCCGUCCUUUUUCUUAACAAGAACACCCCAAUGAGAACAACUAGGCCAAACAAAACCCUUAUCUGUCAACUCUUGCAACUGUGUUUUUAACUAUUUCAACUCUGUAGGUGUCAUUCUAUACGGAGAUAUCAAUAUCAAAAAUGUCCCCGGCAUUAACUCAAUAGCAAACUCAACCUCUUUAAUUGACGGUAACAAUGGUAACCCUUCUGGAACACAUUUGUGAAUUCACAAAUAUUCAGAACUGACCCUAAUUUCAAUUUUGAAACCUUGGAAACAAAUAUGUAAGCCAGAUACGCCUCACAGCCCUUUCUAACAUAUUUCUGUGCCAUCAUAGCUGAGAUAACAUUAGAUGCACCAUCCAACCUAUCUAAUUCAACUCAGAUCCUUUCACCGUUCUGACAUUUCAACACAAUAUGCUUUCAUCUAUAGUUCACAAAAGUAUCAUGCAGAGUUAACCAGUCCAUACCCAAAAUCACAUCAAACUCAUCAAAUGGCAACAACAUCAAAUCAGCCGAAAAGUUGCAAUCCCGAAUCAUCAAAUGACAGUUUUUACAGGCUUUAUCAACAAACACAUACUAACCUAAAUGGUUCGUUACUUUAACCACAAAUUCAGUAGACUAAAAAGGUAUUUUCUUAUCUGACACUAAAGUUUUGUAUACAUAUGAGGGCGUUGACCCCGGGUCAAUCAAAUCAUUAACAUUAGUAUCAAAGAUAAAAAAUGUACCAGUGAUCAUAUCAAGUACUGAAGCUUCCUUUCGAGCACGAAUCGCAUAAGCCCUAGCUGGUGCCCGUGCCUCAUAUCUAAUAGUAGAAUCUUUUGUUCCACCUUGACUGUUACCCGCAUUACCACUAUUUUUUGGCAAUCUCCCUUUCACGGCUGUAUUAUUCGAACGAGUGUUCUAAACUUUCUUUUUAUCUGAUCUUUCAAGGCAGUCUCUUAGAAAAUUAUCAUAGGAACCGCAUUUGAAACACGACCCGUCUUUCAAUCUGCACUUCUCAAAAUGUCGCCUAUUGCAUUGUUGACAUUCAGGUUUGUUGUUUCGAACACUACCCACUCACUACAGAUGUAGCCUAAGGUCUUGAACUUGAAUGUUGCUUCGCUUUAUCUCUCCUUGGUAAACCUAUUGAAGUUGAUGAACAGAAGUGAAAUUCCUUUAAUUUCUUCGAUGGAUAUGAUAAUGACUUUUUCAUAAGUCGUUUUCCCAUAUCACGAGCUUCAGAAUAUGUUUUUCUUUUGGCUUUACUAAGUUCUUCGGCCUUAUAUGAUCUAUCAACCAGAAUCAUGAAUUAUUUCAAUUCUAGAAUUCUAACUAACAAUUUGAUGUUUUCAUUUAAAUCGUCUUCAAACCAAGUACAUAUAACAGCCUCUGAUGGUAUACACUCCCGAGUAUAUUUACUAAGUCACAUAGUUCAGUUUGAGUCAGGAACUAUCACACUAUCACAGGUUAUAUAAAAACAUGUAUUUUUAGACUCCAUACAUGCUACGUUCAGUCCAAGAACUGACUAAAUCAUACUCUGAUACCACUAAAUGUAACACUCUUAACCCGUCUUCGUUGCCAGAUUAGAGUUACAGAGCAUUACUGUUCAAUAAGAAAUAUUUAAAAAUCAUAAAAUUUAAUAAUUUAAAUAUAUCCUAAACCAUUCAUUCUCAUACAUUUCGUCCCUAAAUCAAGCCUUCGGGGCCCUAGAAAUAGCUUAGAGGCAAUUUGGGACUAAUUUGAAACAAAACAAAAAGUUAAGGAACAAGUGGCAAAAAUUAGAAACAAGGGUCACAUGGCCGUGUGACAUAGCCUCAGGUCGUGUAACUUUUGAACAAAGGACACACGAUCGUGUCUCAGCCCGUGUCCUUACCCGUGUUACUCAUUGAGUAGGGUCACACGGUUAUUUUACACCCUCGUAUACCAGGUCGUAUAACUCUCGGAGUUGCUCCACACGCCCAAGUACCAGGCCGUGUGCUAGGCCGUGUAACUCACUGACUUGAACACUAAAUAGCUCACAAAUGACACACGACCCUGUCGCCAAGCCGUGUAUCUCACACGACCGUCUGACAGCCCAUGUCUUAGGCUGUGUGGACCCAAACUUUUACCUAAAAAUAAGUCGUUUCUUAACCAAUCCAUGCAUAACUAACAAAUCCAUUUAUGUACACUUUCAAGGGACUAAAGCAUCAUUCAAAUACACAUAAUCAUGCCAAUUCAAACAACCUAAUUCAUCUAACCAAUAUGCCAUUCAAAGGCAUCACAAUUGCAUCCAAACAUCAUUUACAUAAACAUGUCAAUAUAACCUUAUUUCAAGCAUAAAAACCUAGUUUAAACAUCUACCAAAUCAUGUCUCAAUUGACCGCUGUCAAGCCGUUAUAAACAUACCAAAAAAGAGCCUUAUUUACAAGCAUUAGCAAGCGACCAAAAAUAACAAAGUUUCGUAAGCAUUAAAGUGCACCAAUCAAACAUAAUAUUCAAAACAUAAACAUAUCAUAGCACCAUUACACAACAUCCUAUACAUGAUUAACCUUGGCCAAAAUUCUAAAAAACUACCGAAUUGACUACUGGAUAGUGUGAUAGAUCUCUAACAAAGUUCCAAACCGGUCGAGCUUCCGAUAAUCUAUAAAACAAAGGAAAGAAACUACGUAAGCAACAAAUGCUUAGUAAGCUUGUAUAAACCUUAACAUAACUUACCAUUUUUAUAUUACAAUUCAUAGCAUAAGUAUAAACCAAAACUAAUGCCAUAAGCUUAGUAUGAGCUUAUACAACAUCAUCAAACUCACAAGUUAGUAUACUUGUUCAUAAUAUAUAUGAAAUCAACCGUAAGAUAUGAAGUUUACCAUGUAUAAACGUAACAUUUUUACAUCAUCAAUAUUACCAUAAUAUCAUGAUUCAUUUCAUUUACAUACUUAAGAUUUCCUUUUCCUUUUCUUACCCGUUGAACCAUCUAGAAUUACAUUGGAUACUCGAGAAAGCUUACACAUAGUGUACCUUUACAUAUAACCGUAACAUUUUCUUUACAUCAAUGCUCACACGAGUUGUAAAAUGGGUCUGCUCACACGAGUUGUGGUCAUAAUGAACAUUCAAUUUAACUAGCAUAAAAGUGGUUACAGUUCAUACGAACUUACCUAGAUAACUAGAGUAGUAGUGUAAACUAGUCCGAAGCUUUAGCCUUUCCUCGAUCUAAGUCCGAACAUGAUUUAUCUCGACCUAAAUAGAUAAUUUCAAUCAAUUAAGUACUUUUAGAAUUCAAUUUAAUCCAGAGUUCAUAUUAUGCAAAAUUACCAAUAUGCCCCUAAAAUUUUAACUUUUCCUAAUUUAGUCCUUAAGCUUAUAACUUAAAAUCUAACCAUUUUAACCUAAAUCCAUAUUAACCAUAGAUACAAAGGACUUUGAAACAACCCAUAUUUACCAUCGUUUCACAAAAAAAUCCUAGCAUUUAUACCUUUAACAAUUUAAUCCCUGCUUCUAAAAUUCAUCAAAAAUCACUUAUCAAAACUUAUUUAUUUUUCAACAAGGAUUUGUAAUCUAUCAAUUAACAUCAAAACCUAACCAAAAAAAUUCAUGGAAAGUCUCUCAACCUUUAAAAAUUUUGCAAAUUAACUCUCGAGCUAGCUAAAUUAAGCUAAAACAGAUCAAAAACAUAAAAUCAUUAAAAACGGGGAUUGAAUACACUUACAUGCAAGAAAAUAAGCUUGACUGAACUAACUAUCUUCUCUAAUGGUAGAAAUGGCUAGGUCUUGAAUACAAUGAAAAACAUGAUAGUUUUCUCAUCCUUUAGUUAAUUAACAUUUUAACUAAUUUAUAAAAUUACUUAAUUAACCUUUUAAAACCACUUAAAAUUUCAUUAAAAGCUAUCCAUAAACAUAUACUACCAACAUAUAUGGUAUAAUUACCAUUCAAAUCCAUUAACUUCCCUUUCCAAAGCCAUUUAGCCCUUUUAACUAAUAGAACUCAAUUUCUAAACUUUUUACGAUUUAGUCCUUUUCACUUAAUUAACCAUUUAAACAUUAAAAUUUCUUAACAAAAUUUUAAUAACGCUUAACAAAAUUUUAAUACAACCUUAUUAUAAUUUUGUAAAAAUUUAAUAAAUAAUAAAAUAAUAAUUUACACGUCAAAAUUGUGGUCUCGAAACCACUAUUUUUGAUAUCACUAAAAACGGGCUGUUACACUAGCAAUCUGUUUCCCAGGUAAUCACUGCAAAUGCCCUUAUAAAUUUCUCUCAUGAUAUACUCAACUUCUGAGGGAGUAAGACAAUGCAGUAAUAGGUGCGAAAACUCUUUUCUAUAUAACACACCCUCUAUGAGGGUGUAUCUGUCAAAAGGCGAACAAAACAUGUUGUUCCAAUUUAGUAUGUAAUAAGUUCGUAAUGGGCGGAUAUGUAAUUUUCAUGCAAGGAUUUCAACAAGUAUUCAUAAUUCGUAUCGAUGAUGUACCUUGCCACCUUGUAUUGUUAUUUUACGAGCUCUUUUCGAUCUUGGCUUUCCUAUUUACGUUGUAGCGUGUGGAUUAUAGGGGUCAUCCAUGUUUCUUAUUGGGUCAUCAAUAACACUUGGGGGUCACCAUAGCUCAGCACUUCCUUGUGUUUGAGUAGGAUUUUUCCUCUCUGCUCAAUGGUGAUGGAGGAUGCUAACUUUGAAAGAGCAUCUGCACGCACGUUGUCAUUCCUUGGGAGCUACCUAACCUUGGCUUCUUUGAACCCUGCCAGUAAUUGGAUUACCAUCAUGUGAUACCAUUUUAGUGUUGCUUCUUUCACCUCGUACUCACCAUGUAUUUACUUCACCACGAACUGGGAGUCAGUGUGUAUAGUCAAGUUCCUGGCAUCGAACUAGUGCGCUAAUUAUAGUCUAGAUAUCAAUUCUUCGUACUCAGUGUUGUUGUUCAAUGUUUGGAAUCCAAAUGAAAAUCCAUAUUGCCACUCGUUUCCCUCUGGGUUUAUCACGAGUGUGCCUACCCCCGAUUCUAUUUUGGCUGCAGAGCCAUCGACAUAAAGCAUCCAACCCUUCAUUCUAUCUAUUGUGCACAAAUCUCUAGGGGUGUGUUUACUAUUGGGAGUGUCCAACAAUAAAAAGUAACUUUAGUACAAAAUGAAAAGUGAGUAUCUAUUUUCCGUAAAAUAUGAGAAUCAUUAGAGUGGUACUGUUCAUCAUAAAAUAUGUCAUCAUUAAAUUGUUAAAUUUCAUUAAUGUUUGCAUAUUACAUUAUCUCUGCAAGAUAUUUCACUAUUUGAUGCAUCAAAAUAAAAUUUAUGUUACCUGUUAUGUCUUCACUUUUUUCGAAUGAGCAUUCUACUAUGAAAUCUACCAACACCUGCCAUUUUAUUACCAUUCGUGGGAUGAAAUCUAUCUCGAACUCUGUGAGUUCGAUGCUCUAUUUUUUUAUCCUCCCUAGGGUGUCUGCCUUGGCAAGAACCUGUUUCAUUGGCUGGUUGGUGACUACAACAAUUGGGUGGGGCUGGAAGUAUAGUCGUUGCUUGCGAGCUGUAAUGAUUAGGGGAUAGAUACAUUUUUUUUUUAUUUUUGUGUAUCUAAGCUUGUCAUGUUGAAGCACCUUUCUGACAUAACACAUCAAAAAUUGAAGGCUGCCUUUAGACUUGACUGAGACGAUUGUGAUUGUCUUUUCUGAGUCUCCUAAGUACAGGUAGUGUUUCUCCCGUUUGAGGUGACUUUAACAGUGGAGGGAAGUAAGGUAUUGUUUCAGUUGUUUAAAAGCGGUUUGCCAUUCUUUGGUCUACAAAAAGGGUUUCUUAAGAACUUUGAAAAAUGGGAGGCACUUGUUUGGCAUUAUGGAAAUAAACCUGUUAAGCGCCACCACCUUGCCCAUGAGGUGCUAGAUUUCUUUUAUAGUUUACAAGAUGGGGCAUCUCUGUAAUGGCCUAAAUUUUUUUCAAACUCGCCUCUAUUCCUCUUUUUGAGAUUAUGAAACCCAAGAAUUUACCAGCUCGCACAUCGAAGGCACAUUUCUCUGGAUUAAGUGUCAUGUUGUGGGCCUUCAAUGUCGCGUAUGCAUCGGAGAGGCUCCGCACAUAUUUCUAUAUGGAUUCACUUUUUACAAGGAUGUCAUUUACGUACACCUCCAAGUCGUGACCUAUCUGUUCCUUGAAUAUCCUAUUUACCAACAUUCGGUAAGUUGCACCCUUGUUUUUUAGUCUAAAUGGCAUGACCCGAUAAUAGAAGAGACCCUCUUCGGUGAUGAAAUGUGUUUUUUCUUGGUCAUCACGAUCCAGUAAAUUUUGAUUGUAGCCCAAAAAAGUGUCUAUGAAUCUCAUAAAAUUGUGCCUAACAGAUGUGUCAACCAAGCGAUCUAUCGACGGUAGGGGGAAGCGAUCCUUGGGGCAUGCCUUGUUAGGUUACUGAAGUCGAUACAUAUUCUCCACUUUCCUGUUGACAUUUUUACCAUUACUAUAUUCGAGAUCCAGCUCGAAUACUCCACCUCCCUCAUAAAUGCAGCGACCAACAACUUGAAGACCACCUGCCUUACUACCUCUAUUACCUAUGGUAAAAAUUUUCUCUUUUUCUACUUUACGGGAUUUGCUUCUGGGAGCACAUUCAACCUAUGCACUAUUACCUAUGGAUCCACGCUUGGCAUAUUCGUUGCAAACCAUGCGAAGACGUCUGAAUUCCCCUUCAAGCAUUUGAUCAGUAUCAUCUUUUUUUCCUUAUUUAGUGCAAACAAGAUCUUAACUAUUUUUUCUUUAUUAUCGCAGAAUAGUUGCAGGGUCUCAAUGUACUUCGCUGCCUGGGGUGUUUUUAUCCUUAUGUUCUUUUUGGACAUCCAGAUCAUUUAAGAUGAUAGCUUGGCUUGGUGAACUCUGCUUCUCGGUCAAAGGCUGUCUUACCUACCUAAUGGACAUGUGACAUUGUCUCACCAUGCACUGGUCAGAUUGUAAAAAGCCGACGUCAGUACUUGUCGAGAAUUUGAUCUUCAUACAAAAGUUUGUCAUCACCAUUUUUGCCAUUCUCAUGAUUGGUCUUUUAAAAAUGGCAUUAUAUGCCAUCGGGUGGUCGACCACAUAGAAUUAGACGCACUUUGUGAUCAUAUGUUUGCCGUAACCUAAGGUGAACAGCAAUAUGAUAGCGCCUUUUACCUUGACAUGGUGGUUUGUUAAGCCGGAUAGGGGGCUGGCCGCAGACAAUGACUGUUCUUUUAAACCUAUUUUUUUAUAUACUUCCCAAGAUAAGACUUCCACUGCGCUACCACUAUUGACAAGUAUCAUUUUAACUUUAAAGCCUACGAUCAUAGUCGAAACCACCAUUGGGUCGUUUCUUUCCUCGUCACAGAUUAGCUUAUCGUCAUCGCUUCCAAACUCUACAUUCUAUUUUUCCUAAUGUUGGGGCCUCUUCGGGGAACUGAGUGACAUCACACCCCUCAUGUGUGCUCACCAUUUUACGUUUGACUAUAUCCAUUCGUUGUUAGUGCCUACGAUUACAUGAAUAGUGCCUUGCACCGUUUACUUACACGAGAUUUGGCCUUGCCAUGGACCUCUUUAAUUUAUGAACUCAACAAGUUCGUAAUUUCAAACCGCUUCUUCUAUGACGUCCUUUAGCGUGAAAUAAUCUUCGAUUUUAUGCCUUGUGUCAUCAUGCAAGGCACACUGGUCCCUAAAAUUUUUCCUUCUACCAGUACUUUGCAUUGGGGUGGUUUCGAAAGGAUGCCCAGACUCUUUACUUGGUUUCCUUCUACCAGUACUUUGCAUUGGGGUGGUUUCGAAAGGAUGCCCAGACUCUUUACUUGGUUGAAGAUUUAAGCUCACGUAGCAUUCAACAGGGUGUAAGCCUCAAACCUGCCCUGAGGGUAAUGCCUCAUGUGUUCUUGCUGGAGCCUCUGCGAUUUUCUAAGUGUGUCGCCUUGAGCUAAAGUUCUGUGUAGCCUGUCGAUCCUGACCCAUAGGGACUGGUUGAUGGGAGAUUUCCAAGUGUGUUGUCCCUCACUACUUUUGGUUUGUCUGUCCUCCCUUUAGAAAUUGGCCCACGACGCUCUCUUAAUUUCUUCUGCCUUUACGAACUUAUGGCCCGCUCGUACAGGUCAGCUAGGCUCUGUGGUUUUUUGUCUGUGAUCAAGUAUUGUACGAGGUUGUUUUGCAGUCCCAUAAUGAAUGCAUCUAUCGUCCACUGAUCUUUUAAGUUUUUUUGUGUUAAAUGUAGCCAUAUAGAACCUCUUUACGUAGUCUUAAAGGGACUCACCCUCCCGUUGCUUUAUUGGCAUUAUCCUCAUGGGUGUGUUCAUGGUAGCUCGAUGAGCUCUGAACAUUUCCAAGAACAUUUUCCCAAUUGCGAAAAGUUGUAAACUGAGCCUUGUAUGAGGGAAAGAUACCAGUCAUUGGCACUUGCUUUUAGCGUUGUAGAAAAGGUCUUACAUUUAGCUGCAUCUAAUGACCUCAACGUAUUUAUAUAGUCAUUAUACUGCAUCAGAUGGUCUCGUGGGUCCCUUAUUCCUUCAAACAUAUCCUUAAGUACCUUGAAAUCACGGGGCAAUCCCACUACCAUAAUUUCGAAGGCCAGUGUGUUGUUGGAGCAGAAUAAUCAAUCCAUGUCCCGUGGCUCACGGUGUAAGGCUCACACUUCGUGACGAACCUCAUUCAUCUCGUUCAGCCACUCCUUCACGUAGGUACUCGGAGCUUCAUCUUGGGUGUUGGCGUUUCCUUGGGACCCCGAUUUGUCAACAAGUACAUUUCUGCGCAGUUUCUCAUUCUGCCUUAGUAACUCCUACUAGAAGGCUUGCUAUUCCACAAACCAUGUUUCUUAUGCACCCAUCUGAUCUCUCGUGAACUUCAUCUACUCCUAGAGGGCCAGAACUGCGGAGGGGUGGUUCUUGGCCUGAGGAGAGAUUAAGGUUCAAUGAAAGGGAUGGCCCUAAAAAAGCUGCAUUGUCAAGGUUUUCAGGUCUGUCAACGAACCAAGUGGCAAAAAAAUCUACCUCUUCAUGUCGGAGGUUAGAACCUGAUGCUCUUGCUUGAUCGGGGGAGGGAACAAAAGGAAAAGUCUCGUUUGGGUGAGUCAUUUGUUUUUGUUUAGCUGAAGAAAACUGAAUCAAAUUGAAGAAAAUUUACCAGUCAGAAGUAGUCCACGCUCAUCGCACCGAUUGUUAGUGAUAUUUUUCUCGUAUCGUAUUAAAGAAAACGUAAAGGGCAUUUGUACAUGUUCCUACUGCUACUAUUAUAGCUCAAAAUAGGGCCUACUAUUUUGUCUCGGUCUUUGGGCCAAUGGUACGGACAUUCUCUGUCCUUGGUGCUGACAUUCCCUGGGAAUCCCUUGGCUUAUUGGACGCGUGUCUGCGGAGCACGUAGUUUUUUUUAUCCUAGGACUGACUCCUCCAACGAGCCUCGUACCUGCUAGUCACGAACGGGGAUCCUUUGUAGAGUUCAUGAUCCCUUCUACGGACAUAGCUCGCGACCUCAUUCUUACUAGGCUUACGCAAGCUCUCCUCGUAAGCUUCCCGUGCUAGCUAUCUUUGCUAACAUCUAACAUUCCAGCAAGGUCCCAGCGAACUAUGCCAGUACAUGAACAUUCUUCUUCCAAGUCGGGUCUAUUCGGGUUGGAGAUCCGAAUCUUAUUGGGUCAUUUGGGCUAGUGGUUCCCAAAUCCUAACAAAACUAAAUUUUGUUUUUUUUUCACCUUUGUUGAACACUUUCAAUCACAUAAACAAUUAAUGUUGUUUUGCCCAGAAAUUGCUUUUCAAAUUUUAUUUUGAUUCAUAUUUUCUCAAAACCAUAAAAGCUCUAACAAAUACAUCUCAAUGCCAGACUCAAAUUUCACUAUUAGACUUAUUGUUGCUACUCGAGUUUCUAUGAAACAAAAUCUAGGCUUGCACCACAACUUUCAUUCUUGAGAAUCAUAAAAACUUCUACAAUCAAUGGUCUAUCUAUAGAUUUUCCCGAUAAUUAUGAAAAAAAAAGAAGAGGGAAAGAGAGAAAAGCAAAAUGUUUUAUUAUGUUGUCUGGACUUUUGUUAAGUUUUAAUAUUUUGAAAUUUUAAUUUUUUACAAAGUACAGUUUUUCUUUUCUAAACCCAUCAUUUUUUUUGUUAUAACUCUAGUCAGGGCUAGUUCUCCAUUGUUAUUAUAGUUAAAAAGUACUUUUGAAAAGUGUUAUUGAAAAAAAGUACCAUGAAAAAGUGUGACUUAUUAAUUUAAAGUGCUCACCAUUGCUGUCAAAAAGUGCUAUGAAAAUUUAAAAUGUUGAAUUCUUUAUUAAACUGAAAUUUCAUUAUCAAUUUUUGUAACAACUCGUUUUUAGUGGUGUCAGAAACAGUGGUUUCGGGACCACAAUUCAGAUGAGAGAGUUAUUUUUUUAUUUUUUUUAUUGUUUUUGGAUUAUAUUAAGGUCAUAUUAAAAUUUCAUUAAGAAAUUUUGAUGUUUAAAUGGUUAAUUAGGUAAAAGGAUUAAAUUGUAAUAGGUAUAAAAGUUGAGUUCUAUUAAUUAAAAGGGCUAAAUGGCUAUGGAAAGGAAAGCUAAUGGAAUUAUAUGGCAAUUAUACCAUGUUUUAAGAUAGUGGAUUAUGAUGGGUAGGUUUUAUGGUAGUUUAAAUGAUUUAAUAAGGUUAAUAAGGUAAUUUAAUAAUUAAAUGAAAAACUAAAUAAAGAAAAGAUGAAACAAGUAUCAUCUUUCUCAUUCUUUCAUUCUAAAACCUAGAAACACCAUUAAAAAAGCUUGAAGCAUUCGAAUAGCAUUGUUCUUGUGCAUGGCAUGCAUAAUUGUCUCGUUUUUAAUGAUUUUUAUGUUUUUGAGAUCGUUUUAGCUUAAUCUAGCUAACCCGAGGGUUAAUUUGCAAAAUUGUUAAAGGUUGAGGGAUUUACCGUGAAUGCUUGUGAAUUAUUUUUUAUGUUAAUUGAUAGAUUAUGAAUCUUUGUUGAAAAAUAAACAUGUUUUGUUAAGUGAUUUUUGGUGAAAUUACAUUUAGGGAUUAAAUUGUUAAAAGUAUAAAUCCAUGGGUUUUAUUGUGAAAUGUUGGUAAAUGUGAGUUGCUCCAAGGUUCAUUUUGUCUAUGUUUAACAUGGAUUUAGGUUAAAAUGAUUAGAUUUUAAGUUGUGAGCUUAAGGACUAAAUUGUGAAAAAUUAAAAUAUUAGGGGUAAAUUGGUAAUUUUACAUAAAUAUAAACUAUGGAUUAAAUUGAAUUCUAGAAGUACUUAAUUGAUUGAAAUUAUCUAUUUAGAUCAAGAUAAACCAUGUUCGGACUUAAAUUGAGAAAAAGCAAAAGCUUCAGAUUAGUUCGACUAUAUUACUACACCCUGAUUAUCGAGGUAAGUUCGUAUGAAAUGUAAUCAUUUUAAUGUUAUCUAAAUUAAAUGUUUAUUAUUUCGUUUUAAUGUAAAUGAAUCAAUAUACAAAUGUAUCAAUGCUAUGAUGAAUUGACGGAUAUCGAGUCCUGGUUGAACCUUAAGAAUUCUUAGGAUACAAAUGACAUGUCAUUAGGGAUUUCAUGUUUCGGGUGCUGGCCUUGAAUGUCCUAUCGAUGUCCGAGGUCCUGCAUUUGUUGUGGAUUCUCCACAGCUCGUGUGAGCAACAUCGUGUAGCUUACAUUCCAACCCACAACUCGUGUGAGCAGACCCAUUUCACAGCUCGUGUGAGCAUUGAUGUAAAGGAAAUGUUACAGUUAUAUGUAGAGACAUACUUUGUGUGAGCUUUCUCGAGUAUCUGAUGUAAUUCUAGAUGGUCCAAUGGGUAAGAAAAGGGAACGAAAUGGUAAGUAUGCAAAUGGAUUGAAUCAUGACUUUAUAAAAGGAAUUAUGAACUAAAUGAUGUUAGUACAUAUGGAAAAAUUUACAUAUUUUAUGAUUGAUUUCAUUUGUAUCAUGGACAAGUAUACUAACUUGUGAGUUGGUGAUGUUGUUUAGGCUUUUAAUAAGCUUAUGGAAUUGGUGAUGAACUAUGUUUAAUCUUUGAAUUGCAUAAAUAACAUGUUAAGUUAUGUUUUAUUUUAUACGAGCUUACUAAGUACUCAUUGCUUAUGUAUUUUUUUCCUUUGUUUAAUAGUUUAUCAGAAGCUUGAUCGGUUUGGAAGCUCGUCGGAGACCUAUCACACUAUCCAGCAAACAAUUCGAUAGUUUUUGAGUAUUUUGGCCAAGGUUUAUAAUGGCAUGUAUAGGAUGUUUUGUAAUCAUGAUUUGGUGUGUUUAUGCUUUGAAUGUUAUGUUUGGUUUGGUUCACUUUAAUGCCUUACCAAGUUAUGUCAUUUUGGUCACUUUCAAAUGAUUGUAUAUAAGGUUCUUUUGGUAUGUUUGAAAUGCCUUGAUAAUGGUCAUUUGUGAUAUGAUUUGGUAGGUAUUUGAACUAGAUUUUAUGGAUGAAAUAAAGUAAUGUUGGCAUGUUUAGGUUAUCGAUGUUUGAAUUCAAUUGUGGUGCCUUUGAAUAACAUAUUGGUUAGGGGAAUUAAGUUGUUUGAAAUGGCAUGAUUAUGUGUUUUUGAAUGAUGCUUUAGUCUCUUGAAAGUGUGCACAAAGGGGUUGGUUAGUUAUGCAUGAAUUGGGUAUGAAAUAUCUUGAUUAUAGGUAAAUUUUGGGUUCACAAGGUCUGGCGACACUGUCGUAUGUCAUCUGAGGAUUGUUUAGGGUUCAAGUCAGUGAGUUACACGACCAAACACAUGACUUGGCACACAGGUGUAUGUGGCAACUUAAAGAGUUACACGGCCUAACACAAGGGUGUGUAACAUAGUCGUGUGACCCUAGUUAGUGAGUUACACGAGUUAGGACACGGGUGUGUCCCUUGUUCGAAAGUUACAUGGCCUAGGGCUAUCUUACAUGGUUGUGUGACUUCUGUUUUCAAUUUUUUUCUACUUUUUCCUAAGCUUUUCGUUUUGUUUCAAAUUAGUCUCGAAUUGCCUCAAAGUUGUUUUUAGGGCCUCGAGAGCUCGAUUUAGGGACAAAAUGCAUGUGAUUGAAUGGAUUAUGAUAUGUUUAAUUUAUUUAAAUAUUAUGAUGUUUAAAUAUUUUCGGUUGUAUUGUAAUGCUCUGUAAUCCUAAACCGGUGAAGGAGAUUAAUUAAGGGUAUUACAAUUUUUAUACUAUGUUGUAACUCCAAUUAGUAACCUCGUUAAAAAAAAUUAGAUGAUUGGGUUUAUAUUUUUUUUUUCAAAUCAAAUCAAAAGGUUGAGUUGAUAUUUUUUUUGUGUUCGACAAAUUAGUAAAAUAUAAGUAUUUUAAUAAUCAUAAUUCGUUUUCUAUAAAAAAAAUCCAUAGUUGACUAAAAAAAAAUUUGUAAUGAACUAAAACAUUACUUUAAUAAAAAAAACACUUAAUUAUAUAAAAAAAAAUACUAUUUUCAACUUUCUUUUACAGAACAUGGGUGUCUGUACAUAUUUCUAAUCAUACAUUUUUUUUAAGAAAAUUACAUUGAAGGUGAUUUAAUUAUGCUUAGGUGGUGUUAAGUGUUUGAUAAAAAAUAGGUUAUAGUUUAAAAAUUGAUAUAAUCAUAAAUUUAAUUUUUAAUUUUUAUAUAUUAUGUUAAUUUAGUUAUAACUUUAAAAAAAUUAACUCUAAUAUUUAUAUAUUAUUUUAAUUUUACUCAUAAUUUUAUUAAAAAAUCAAAAUAUAUAAAAAUAGGAUGAAUUAUCCAAAAAUACUUAUUUUUAACCAUAAUUAUCAGAUUAUGCUAAUUUUGAGAAAACAUGUUCAGCUGGAUGCAUUUUCAGUGAAUAUGGCAGGAAAAUGCUUCCAAUUUGAUGUGCUUUCAGCUUUGGCUAAAUGGUUAAAUGCUAGUGUUUUUAUCUUUGAAUUUCAUGUUCGAUUCUUUUCCUACUCAUAUUUAUAUUUUUUUAUUUUAUGUUGCUUUAAGCUUUUUAAAAUUUUAAUUAAUUUUGUUAUCAUAUUAGUUCUUUGGUUAGAUAGUUAGAUAAUUGUAAUUAUAUCCUUGAGUCUCAAGUUUGAUUUCUCUCCUACUUAUAUUUGUAUUUUUUUUAUUUCAUGUUACUUCAUCCUUUUUAAAUUUUUAAUUAAUGUUUUUUAACAUUUUAGUUUUUUCCUUAGAUGGUUAGAUGUAAUUACAUCUCAAGUUCGAUUCUUUUACUAAUCACAUUUGUAUUUUUUAUUUCAUGUUGCUUCAAGCAUUUUUUUAUUUUUAAUUAAUAUUUUUAGCAUGUUAGUUCAUUUCGUUAGAUAGUUAGAUAAUUGUGAUUACAUCCUUGAGUCUGAGGUUCAAUUAUUUUUAUAAGCAUAGUAAUGUAUUUUUAAUUUCAUAUUGUUUCAAACUUUUUUAUUUUUAAUUAUUUUUAUAAGCAUAUUAUUAUUAUUUUCAAUUAAUGAUAUUUACAAUAAUUAUUUAAUUUUAUAAAUAAAAUAAAUAUAUAUUUUCUGAAUUUACUCAUAAAUUUUAAAAAAUUCAAAACAUAUAAAAAUGUAUAAAUUUAAAAAAUAUACAGCCAUGAAAGGUUAGAUUUAAAAAUAUAGUACAACCAAAUCAAAGCAUCAACAACCACUAAAGAUACCACAAUAAAUGCAUAAAACAUGUUCGAACAAAACCAAAUGGCACCAACACAGACCAAAAAACAAUAAGGCCCGCAAAAUUACGUAAAGUUUAAUAUGAUUAAUAUAUUAUUUAAUGUCUAAGUUUUACUUGAUAAUAUUUUUUUAUUUGGUUUUUGUUGCAUAGUAACAAUAAUGUUAUUAUUCGAAAACUUAAAAAUUAUAUAAAAUAUAAUGUUUUUAAUUUCUUUUAUAAAAGUAAAAGAAAUUACGUCUCUCAAUGAAUUUUUUCCUUGAUUUUAUU